rnacentral:rRNA from 1 species
GACGAACGCUGGCGGCGUGCUUAAUACAUGCAAGUCAUAGGGGCUAAUUUCCUUCGGGAGAUUGGUCACUGGCGCACGGGUGCGUAACGCGUAAGUUAUCUGCCCUUGGGUCUGGCAUAACGUCGGGAAACCGGCGCUAAUUCCAGAUGAUAUCGUAAGAUCAAAGCCUUCGGGCGCCCAAGGAUGAGCUUGCGUCUGAUUAGCUUGUUGGCGGGGUAAUGGCCCACCAAGGCAACGAUCAGUAGCCGGUCUGAGAGGAUGAUCGGCCACAUUGGGGACUGAGACACGGCCCAGACUCCUACGGGAGGCAGCAGUAAGGAAUAUUGCGCAAUGGACGAAAGUCUGACGCAGCAACGCCGCGUGCAGGAUGAAGGCCCUUUGGGUUGUAAACUGCUGUAGAAAGGGAAUAAUAGUUUGCCACGGGUGAACUUGAAGGUACCUUUAA